UCUGGCCAGUUACAUCCAAGGAUGA
rnacentral:misc_RNA from 1 species